rnacentral:lncRNA from 1 species
AAUAUUUAACGUUGUUUGUGUUUUCUUUAGUCUUUUAGAGUGUUUUGUCAACGACAUCGUCUUGAGAUUGUUUCGUUUUCGAGAGAGUUAAACUAAAUACCCUAUAGGUAUGAUAAGUUUUAUGCAUUUAGCUUCAACUCUCUUAGAUGUUUUUGUCUUGAUAAUCGUUUAGCAUUGCGUCUGAGUGUUUUGACUUAGUUAUUUUUUUGUUUCCUAAAAUACUAAGUGCAUUCCUAAGAUUUUUUGUGUUAGGGAUUUUCGUUCUAAUUCUUUUGUUUUUAUCCAAUGUUGUUUUCAUAUUAUUAUUAGGGUUAAAUAUGUUUUUCGUCCCCCAACUAUUAGCCGUUUUUGUGUUUAGUCC